GCCCGGUUAGCUCAGCUGGUUAGAGCGUCGUACUAAUAUCGCCUGUCAAGGCAAUACAUGGUAUGCGAAGGUCAACAGUUCAAUCCUGUUACUGGGCA
rnacentral:tRNA from 1 species